CCCUUGACUAUGCUUGUCUGGCAACCAUAACACGAGCAGCUUCUCCUCCUCUUUCUCCUCUUCCAUGAUAUUUCUUCUUCAGAGCCAGCUGACUACAGACUGGAGCAGGAUACUGACCUGAAAUCUGCCCAGCUUCUCAGCUUGAUUAACUGUUUUAUUUUAGCCUAGGAAAAGCCUGCUGUACUUGGGACAAGCAAGGUUUAAGAAACAAGAGUACCAUCCACAGAGAAACUCACCAGCCAGAACUGAGGCAUAGAGAAAGAAGUAGCAGAAAUCAAGAAGCCAUCAGCCAGAACUAAGAAACUUACCAGCCAGAACUGAGGUAUAGAGAAAGAAAUCAACAAGCCAAAACAUGCUCACCUAAACCCAAGAAGCCCCAUCAACCUCUCAACAACCAGCUAAGUCUGGUCCGGCUCAAUAUCUCAUCAUCAGUGAAUCAGAAGUGGAGGCUUAGAACCAGAAGUGAUGCGAAUCUAGAGGAUGGGCUGCAGACAGCGGUUCUAGAGCUGAGCCGGAUGGGAGUCCAGAGUCCCUCUGCCUGGAGUGACAGAGGAGCUGUUGGCAUGAUUUGCAACACAUGCGCAACUCCACAGCAGCUGGAAGAUCCUCUGAUGGUUAACUCGGAGAGCAGCGUUGCCACAACAGGGAAAGUGAGGAGGAAUCAGGUGAGAAAUUGCACUAUUAAAGAUGCUGGGGAGAGAAAGGUGACUCUUGGAAGCUCAUUCUUUGAAACAUGCAGGAAAGGAAUAAAAACAGCUGUUUUCCUUAGAGAACAUUAUUCAUCAGAUAUAUCCGAUCAAGAAUUUGAAGAUUGCUAAGUGACCUUCUAAAAUGUUUGAAUCGGAAGACAGUACUGAUGAGGAAGUACCAAUUCAUGAAUCAGGAAACCUGAAGAUGAUUUUUCAGAAUUAUUGGAGGAUGACUUUCAUUCUAAGAAUGAAGAUUUCACAUCAUCCAGAACAUUUGUUGACGUUAAUUUGGAAAAUCCAAUGCCAACUCUUUCUGGGUUUCCAUUUUCCAACACACCUAGUGUAAAUUUGUCAUUUACACAGUGAUACAGAAAUAUUACAUUACUUUACAUUACUCUGCAAUUCUAAAAUAAUGGAGUUGAUUACAAUGGAAACUAACCAAUAUUUAAAUCAAACAAACCCG